rnacentral:lncRNA from 1 species
AAAAAACCAAAAUGAAGGAUGGAGCCUGACUGCUCGGCCCAGCAGGAACCAAGGAGAAGCAGGAAACAGGCCGCAUAUAAGCCCCCGCGGUUGUAGGUGUUCUGACGGCAGGAAACGCCUCUUCGACCGUGACCGUGUCUUUCUGACCGCGGCCGAGCACCACUUAACCGCGGUCGUUGAGAUAAUACCCGACCCCAAAAACCCACUACACCUCAUUCCACCUCACCAAGCCCCACUCCACCUCUCAUCACUUCCCACCACCUUCAUCACCACCUAUCACCUUCCCAAACCUCUUCGAAUGAAUCCGAUCCAUCUCCACCAG